AUUGAACGCUGGCGGCAUGCCUUACACAUGCAAGUCGAGCGCGAAAGGGGGCAACCCCGAGUAGAGCGGCGGACGGGUGAGUAACACAUCGGAACGUGCCCAGUAGUGGGGGACAACCUCGAGAAAUCGAGGCUAAUACCGCAUACGACCCACGGGUGAAAGCGGGGGACCCAAAGGAAACUGAGGGGCCUCGCGCUAUUGGAGCGGCCGAUGUCCGAUUAGCUAGUUGGCGGGGUAAGAGCCCACCAAGGCGACGAUCGGUAGCUGGUCUGAGAGGACGACCAGCCACACUGGGACUGAGACACGGCCCAGACUCCUACGGGAGGCAGCAGUGAGGAAUUUUGGACAAUGGGGCAACCUGAUCCAGCCAUGCCGCGUGCGGGAAGAAGGCC
rnacentral:rRNA from 1 species